AAGAAAGACAUAAAGGUUAUGCUGUUGGCUUGAAACCGACUAGAGGGGGUUCGAUUCCUUCCUUUCUUG
rnacentral:tRNA from 3 species